rnacentral:rRNA from 1 species
UGGGGAAUAUUGGACAAUGGGCGCAAGCCUGAUCCAGCCAUGCCGCGUGAGUGAUGAAGGCCUUAGGGUUGUAAAGCUCUUUUACCAGGGAUGAUAAUGACAGUACCUAGAGAAGAAGCACCGGCUAACUCCGUGCCAGCAGCCGCGGUAAUACGGAGGGUGCGAGCGUUAAUCGGAAUUACUGGGCGUAAAGCGCGCGUAGGCGGUUUGUUAAGUCGGAUGUGAAAGCCCCGGGCUCAACCUGGGAAUUGCACCCGAUACUGGCCGACUGGAGUGCGAGAGAGGGAGGUAGAAUUCCACGUGUAGCGGUGAAAUGCGUAGAUAUGUGGAGGAAUACCGGUGGCGAAGGCGGCCUCCUGGCUCGACACUGACGCUGAGGUGCGAAAGCGUGGGGAGCAAACAGGAUUAGAUACCCCUGUAGUCC